rnacentral:lncRNA from 1 species
UAUUGUAUUCUGAAAUAACACACUGCUUAUUCUUUUAUUCUUUUAAAAAGGUUUCUAACCUAUUACAGAAAAUCAGCACAUCAAGAAGGCAACUCCAAUAAGCACAUGUGUGUUCUAAUUGUUCACAGGGGGAUCAAGACUUGAAGGCACUUGAUCAAGAGGCUCUUGUUUGUUUGUUUGUUUGUUUGUUUGAUUGAUUGAUUGAUUGAUUGAUUGAUUGAUUGAUUGAUUGAUUGAUUGAUUGAUUGUAUCCCACCUUUCCACAAAACAAAAACUCAGGACAGCAUACACAUCUCUAUUCCUCCCUACUUUCUUCUUACAAAACCUUAUGAGGCAGGGAGGUCAGUCUGAGGGAACAUGACCUGACCCAAGUCCAUCCAGUCCCAUUCAUGGCUGAGUGAGAUUUGAAUUCAUGGCUCAGUGCAGAUCUGAAUACAUGUCUGUUGACCAGGUCACUAUCUUGACUAUAAGCUUCUCUGCAUUUCAAGGAAAACGUGAUUAAUCAUGAGAUUUAAUGAGAUUGGUCCUACCACAUGAGAUGUGUGGUCUAAGCUGAGGACAGGUACAUUUCAGUCUUAUUGAUCCAGAGAAAGGUCAAUGGGCAGAUGAAGUGAGAAAAGCUACUGCAAGACUACUGACAACAAAAUAAUCAACAGCUUCCUCAAUGUCCAACGACUGAAUGAAAAGAACAAAUAUUACCAGAUGCAAAUACAAUUCUUAUGUUUUUCAAUGGUCAUAUCUCAGCAGAUGUGGCUUUUCUAUCCCUUCUCAACAACAAACUGCACUUAACAAAAAUGACUUAUUCCACAACAGUUUGUUGAAUGUAUACUGGUUAUUUUCCUAAGAAUUGCCUGAAGUAACAUGAAACAGAAAUGCAAAGCAAUGUAUCUGCAAAAGACUAAAACAAAACAAGAAAUCCUAAACAGUGCAAAUGAAUGCUGCUUCAAUAGCAACAGUAAUAACAUAAACACUUAAAAUCAAGCUCUGUUGAGCUGUGCAAGACUACUGUUUUGUAAAGUUUUCUUGAAUAACUGUGGCUUGGCUCAUUGAUUAAAAUGUAUAGGAAUUAUUACAUUACAAUUCUGUGAACAGCGCUGGUUUAUACUUAAUUUUUCAUGGCCAAUACCAGGAGACAGUCCCUCUCAGCAUGAAAAUAAAAACAAGAGUAUUUUGAUACUUUAAAGAUUA